GGGUCACGGUCGCGGGACUUUUGUAUUCCGGAAGUACAAUCGGGAGCUGCAAAGCUAACGACGCUAGCUGAAGAAAUAGUGGAGACCGACGCUUCACUUUGUUGAUCAAAGUCACGGCAGUAAUGUGGUUCACUCAGUGUAUUCCUACACCAGCCUUUCUCUCGUGUCCGACGGGACGACGGCUGCAAUGACAGUGGUAACCCUGACAGCGUUCUCCCAUCAUGCUUCUUGUGUAAUUCCUGUGUACUUCCUGUUUUAACUUCCUGUGUGCGGUGACCAAAGUGUACUUCCGGUUUGCGGUCAUGGGGGAAACUGAGUCGGAUGGACUACGAACUCACUCACACACGUCUCAACAUCCUCGCUGCUCAGUAAUAUUUUUGGUCAUUUCACAUUUGAAAUACACAACAAGAAACCAGGGGGCUAACUGGAGUGAUGUGUAAACAAUAGGCUUAAAAAUGUCUUAAAACAGAAUGUGAUUCAAUGUUAAAACUGUGCUUGUGUUUGUCAUUAGUUGUGUAUUGUAUAUUGUAACUUUAGAAAUUCCAGGCAUGCAGUGAAAUGGUAAAUUUAUAUUUUAGUGUUCAUAUUUUAGUGUGUAAUAUACAACAUUCAUUCUUCCCAUUGUACCAAUGGAAAACCGUCAUUAGUUUUUUUUUUUUGUUUUUGUUUUUUACACCUGAAUAACCACCAGUUGUCUCCCUGGGUGGUUGCCACCCAGGACCUGAGAUGGCUCUGUGGUGUUGUGGAUCCCUUGUAUCAUGGACACAUUUUUACCAAAGCUUUGUGGGGUCAUUUAAUGGAGCGAAAUGUAGGAGUAUGAAACCCAAAUAUAAAGUAAAUGAAACCAAACCGUGUGAAAAAUACACAAAUCACACAGUGAACUUUAUUUCUGCAGUAGGACAAAUCAUUGGCAAAUGACAUCCAGUUCAAAAUGAAACGAUAACCGUCUAUUUUGGGGUUACAUAAUUGCUUUUAAAGUGAAGGUGACACAAUAUGUAUUUAUUUAUUUAUUGUAUUUAAGACUAAAAUUAAGCAACUGUUUGAAAUUAUACUUUCCCAGUGUGCGGUUACUGAAGCGAUAAAUAUUAGGAUUUUGAGCCGUGCGCCAAGAAAAAACAGGAAUUUCCGGCCGAGUCACAACAUUGGAGAAGGAGUAGGAAGUAACAUCAGCGGGAGGUUGUACUCUGAUUCUUCAUACAUUGUGCCCCUUCCACCUGAAAAAUAAAAUACAGUAUAUUCAGAGUAGAAGUUGUGAGAGCUUUAAAUGUACAUAUUUUUGAUACUGGGUUUUUGGAAUUUAAAUUGUGUUGCUGUGAUGAUUGUAAGGAUGUUUGCAGUUUUUGUUAAUGUUAUCUGCAAAUACAAGAUCUGAAUAAAUUGGAAUAUUUUGGUUUUCUGCCACUACAAUUGUCUUGGAGAUAAAUAUAAAGGGAGUAUAUUUGGAAUGCACUUUACAAUUUGAUAUUUUUUUCACUUACUCAUUUCCUGCUUCGUCUCUGUAAUGCUGUCUGUGAAGUAGACCGUCUGCAGGCCUUCCAAGUUCAGACAGAACAUUUGGAAUCCCUGGUGUUCUGUGAUGCGCCUCACCCCUCUUCUGGACCACCAUUUGUGACCCCCAUUAUGUCAUCUGCAAACUCGUCUAUGGAGGCUCCUGUCAGAUCUCAUCCAUCAGCCUGUCUAUCAACAGAGUCCAUCCUUGACAUAAUCCCACCUCCACCCCCCUCUGUCCCCUACUGCUGUCACUGUCCUCAUACACAUCCUGCACCACUCUCACAUACUUCUCUAACAUUUUGCCCUACUUGAGGAUGAUUCUGUCAGAUCUUCAGUGGGUCCUGGUGUGUCGACUGCUGGAUUUUGGGGUGAUUCCAAAAUAUGUUCCAGUCUGUUCCUGGAAACGUUGCAUCUUUGUGCUAUUGGAAGAUCUUCAGAGAGUUCGUUACAGCGUCACAAUUUAGGAUGCACACAAGAUAACUUCAGUGGCUUUAGCUUGGAGCUCAGUAAGAGCAGUAAAUCUAAUGCCCACAGCUGAGAGGAGCCACCAAGAGUCUCAUAACAUGUUCUGUCAACUAUUUUCACAAUCAUUCAUUAUUACUUGUACUGUGGAGUUUACUGUGUAAUGUGCUGCAACUUGUACAUUUUCAACACAACAUUAAACAAAUUUGUUG